CGCGGCCUAUCAGCUUGUUGGCGAGGUAACGGCUCACCAAGGCAACGACGGGUAGCUGGUCUGAGAGGAUGGCCAGCCGCAUUGGGACUGAGAGACGGCCCAGACUCCUACGGGAGGCAGCAGUGGGGAAUCUUGCGCAAUGGCCGAAAGGCUGACGCAGCGACGCCGCGUGGGGGAGGAAGGCCUUCGGGUUGUAAACCCCUGUUGCCCGGGACGAAUGUGCUCUUUAGAGGGCAUUGACGGUACCGGGUGAGGAAGCACCGGCUAACUCCGUGCCAGCAGCCGCGGUAAUACGGAGGGUGCGAGCGUUGUCCGGAAUCACUGGGCGUAAAGGGCGCGUAGGCGGCUCAUGAAGGCUGUGGUGAAAGUCCGAGGCUCAACCUCGGAUCGGCCGUGGCGACUCGUGGGCUGGAGCACUGUAGAGGCGGGUGGAAUUCCGGGUGUAGCGGUGGAAUGCGUAGAGAUCCGGAAGAACACCAGUGGCGAAGGCGGCCCGCUGGGCAGUGGCUGACGCUGAAGCGCGACAGCGUGGGGAGCAAACAGGAUUAGAUACCCUGGUAGUCCACGCCGUAAACGAUGGGCACUAGGUGCUUGGGGGAGCGACCCUCUGAGUGCCGGCGCUAACGCAUUAAGUGCCCCGCC
rnacentral:rRNA from 1 species